CAGUAGCCGCGGUAAUACGAAGGUCCCGAGCGUUGUUCGGAAUCACUGGGCGUAAAGGGAGCGUAGGCGGCGUGGUAAGUCAGAUGUGAAAUCCCGGGGCUCAACCCCGGAACUGCAUCCGAUACUGCCGUGCUAGAGGAUUGGAGAGGUAGCUGGAAUUCUUGGUGUAGCAAUGAAAUGCGUGGAGAUCAAGAGGAACACUCGUGGCGAAAGCGAGCUACUGGACAAUAUCUGACGCUGAGGCUCGAAGGCCAGGGUAGCGAAAGGGAUUAGAUACCCGAGUAGUCCCUGUCUCUUAUAC
rnacentral:rRNA from 1 species